UAAAGAAUUAUAAUUUUAAGUCUGAUCUGCUCCAUGAUUAUAAUUAAAUAGCUGCAGAAUUUUAACUGUACAAAGGUAGCAUAAUCAAUAGUUUUUUAAUUAAAAGCUGGAAUGAAUGAUUUGAUAAGGUAAAAAUUGUCUCAAUUUUUAUGAAGUUAGAAUUUUUUUUUUAGUAAAAAUACUGAAGUGAAAUUAAAAGACGAGAAGACCCUAUAGAUUUUUAUAUUUAUUAAAUAAUUAGAAUAAAUUGAUAAUUAUAAUUAUUAUUUAAAAUAUUAGGUUGGGGUAAUUAUUAAAUUUUAUAAAUUUUAAUAUAUUUUAAACUAUAAUUAUUGGAUUAAUGAAUUUAAUAAGUUAAAUUAAAGAAUAAAAUACCUUAGGGAUAACAGCGUAAUUUUUUUGGAAAGAUCAUAUUUAUAAAAAAGUUUGCGACCUCGAUGUUGAAUUAGGAAAUAAUUUUAAUGUAGAAGUUAAAAAAUUUUGGUCUGUUCGACCAUUAAAAUCCUACGUGAUCUGA
rnacentral:rRNA from 1 species